rnacentral:tRNA from 1 species
CGGGGCGUAGCGCAGUCCGGUUAAGCGCGCUUGGUUUGGGACCAAGAGGUCCUCGGUUCAAAUCCGAGCGCCCCGACCA